UGGAAGAUGAGGCAAAUAUCCUGAGGAUUUCAGACCCUGCCUCUUCAGUGUGGAGUCGGGUGAAGGAAGGCCAGCCCCAGAGAAAGAAGGAGAUGGGGCCCCUGCUGUGACCCCCAUCCCAGCAUCCCCAUGGAGCUGCUGGCCGCCAACACACCAUUCUGGGCUCUGAGCUGAGGGGAGGAGGAGGAGAAUGCUCCCUCCCUUCUCAAGACCCACUCAGACUAGAAGACAGGCACUUCUUGCCAUUUGACAGCAGAGAACUUUGAUGAGAACAACAAGCGAGAAGAACUUUAGGGAGGAAGGUGCUUUAGCAAAGGAUUGCUACAAAAUGGAUGAAGCUUGGAAACCUCUUUAUGGGGCAGACUUUAUUCCUUACUCUGUCACAAUGGCCUUGGCAACAGUGGGUUUGGGCAUGUUUUGCUGUUGUUGGUAGGUAUGUGUGUCACCUCUGUGUGUGGGCCUCCGUGUAUCUGUGCAUGUGCUUGUGUGUGCAUGUGCCUGUGUGGCUGUGUGUGUUCGUGCGUGUGUGAGAUGGAGAGAGAGCAUAUCCUACAUCAAUAACCUCUUCCCCUGGAGAGAUUUUCUUUUUUCUUUUUCUAGUUAUAACAUCUUUAAAACAGGGCCCAAAAUGGACAACUUCCCCUAAACACCACAUGCCAGAGAGCUCCAGGACAUCCCAGGCUGGAAGUAGAAGCACUCCCUUCUCGGACUGAAUCUCAGGCUUUCCAGUUCGACAGGAAAGGAAGGACCAAACAUGGAGAUGUCAACUUUCUUACAUACAGGCUGUCUCUCCAUGGCGGUUUGGGCAGCACACAAAUAAAUAGGAGGGGGGAGUUGGCAGGAAGGUGGAGCACACGUCAUCAGAGAGUGGCUUUAUGUGCAGGCAGCAAUUAGAGGAACCUGAUUUGAAAACAGAAGGCUCCAGACCCACUGGGAUGAAUGUCGCAGAGUCAUUUUGCAGGAAUCCAAUGAACGUUGCAUUGCAAGCCAUGUGCACCCUAAUCAAGGGGCCUCAUGGAGAAAGAUUUUAAACCCUUUUUCCUAUGCCACAAAGGAGUAUGACCUUUCCGUGAGGAAACUACUGUGCAAGCAAAUGAGAUCUCUCUCAAGGCCAGAGUCCCAGCUCUGAGGAAGACAUCAGUCACAGGGCCUGUCCUUCGUCUCUGAGCCAGAAGCCUCUCUGGGGGUGUCACUUUCACUUCCCAUUUGCUCGUUCUCAGAGGCCGCUUGUCUGAGUGACAACAUGGAGCAAAGGAGCCUCGGAAGACUUAUUUGACCAGGAGGAGAGUUUGGGGGCUGGCUCCUUUCUCUGACAGCCCAAGAGGCUAGCAGCUUCAGCUGAAGUAAGGUCCCAGCAGAAACAUGGGUACAAGUGACACCCCACCCUUACCUCCUCCACACCUGUGACAGAGCCACCAGGUCUGGUUGUUAAGGCCGAUAUGAGCAGGUAUCUCCUUGCCAAUCUCAGCCUCAGACAGUUGCCAACAACAAGCACGCUGUACCUCACAGAGCCCUGUUUCCACUUGAGGAAACGUCUCUGCUUUCUACGUCUCACUGACGCUGGUGGCAAAGGCCUCCCAGGAGUGAUUCUUGGAGCAGGAAGAGAAUCCCGUGUUGACUCAAGAGCAUAUGGGAAAGCCACGUUCCCCCCAGCAAUUAACCAGAAGUCAAUUCUUUCUGUACCAGCAAGUCCCAAACCCUCCUGGAUGGAUGAAAUUUGAUGAAAGCCAGAAAUGCUCUUUGUAGAGGGUUGCCUGUGUCCACAAAAGUUUACAUGCAAGUUAAAGAAGCUUAUAAGCUCCAUGAAACGCCUCAAGGGGCUAUGGUCUCCCAAAGUUAGGUCACCAGCACCAGCAACUGGUGCAGGGGCAUGACCAUUGUGGGAAGAAAGUCUCUAUCCAGGGCCAUACACUUCCCCCUCUUUCCCUGCCACCAAGCAGACAGCAGGACCCUCUGGGUACCUGGGCCUCUUUUGCAAGGCUCAGGACUCAGGAAAGUCCAGGUGGCAAGCUAUUCUCCACUGGUCCCUGCUUCGCAAAGCCAGAUGCAGACAGGACGCUGAUCUGUGGUUUGAAACUGAGGUAUCCUGCUUCUCAUCAGCAAUGUGCUGGGGCCAACUCGUGCAGAGAUUUGAAGCCACUUAUAAAACUACGUAUGAAAGGAUAGCAGAGGAAAACAAAUGAAGAAAUCAAGACCAAAGGACAAAUUCGGGCAGGAAAACAAAUCUGAGUGUCAAGCUUGUACACAGGAAUACAGACCAUGAGAUGCGCUGCCCAAUUGCUAGUUGUUGGAUGCAAAUUAGGCUCUCAGUGUCCUGGAGUCCAAAGCACAGAGUGGGAAAUCAUCGGUUUGAAGAGUCAGUGUCUUUGAGACAUCCUUUGCUCCAGAGAAGCGUGGAUUUUCCAGGUUUGGAGCCUGAGAGUAAUCAUCCUGCAGCCGUUCAUAGGGUGAUCCUGAGUGUCAUGGUGGACAGCAGUCUCAGUGGCAUCCCAGCAAUGAUGACACAGUGAGGUCCCUACCUUGUGUCUUAUAGCAGCCUUCAGCUGGAGCCUAGGAUGGCAUAGCCUCACCAGGAAAGGGUGCCAAGCCUGAUUCUGGAAUGCAAUUCCCUGAACACUCCAAGCAUUGAGAUCCAGACACACAGCUCUCAGACUGACUAGCUUCAUAGUAGGGGGAGAGGGGUGAGGAACACCCCAAAUAUCUAGAUUUAUGUUUCUCAAUCAUAUUGACCUCAUGGCCUCUUUGAGAAACAUAACAAAGCCAUGGUCUCCCUUUGGCAGAUUUCAAGAUAAAUAUCAUGCAUAAAAAUAAAUGUUAAAAGUUACGAUGU